CAGGUCUGCCUCUUUGGGGAAAGAAAGCUGGUGCGGCCCUUUGUUCUUGAAAGCCAGCUCGUCCCAAAUAGGAACCUUGGUUCUGCCUGUACGAACCUCUCUGAAUACGGCCAGACAGACGGCUCCUACCUCUUCCAGGCCCGGCAAAAAUCUUUUGGUGAAAGAUCUUGCGCAUAUUAUGCUGAGCUUUAUCUAAAGCCGUGAAAGUGUGUACAAAUGACCCUAACUCCUUGACAAAAG